GACGAAGGGUGCUAGCGUUGUUCGGAAUUACUGGGCGUAAAGCGCGCGUAGGCGGUCUAUCAAGUCAGAUGUGAAAGUCCAGGGCUCAACCCUGGAAUGCCGGUGGAUACUGUCGGGCUAGAGUCCGGAAUGGGCGAGUGGAAUUCCUGGUGUAGCGGUGAAAUGCGCAGAUAUCAGGAGGAACACCAAUGGCGAAGGCAGCUCGCUGGGACGUGACUGACGCUGAGACGCGAAAGCGUGGGGAGCAAACAGG
rnacentral:rRNA from 1 species